rnacentral:tRNA from 1 species
GGGGAUUUAGCUCAGCGGUGUAAGCACCUGCCUUGCAAGCAGGCAGAGUUUGAUUCCCG